rnacentral:lncRNA from 1 species
ACCUUAGCUGAUGUGUUCUUACUCAAACAACCUCCCACAAUAUUGACUUUGUACCUUGAGGCACCACAAAGUGCACACUCAGUCAAGUCUGAUGUAUCUUUCCAAAACAGCAUACAAUCAUUGGGGCAAGCGUCAAUCCUCUUGACUGUAAGUCCCAACUCCCUAAUGAUUUUUUUAGCAUCAUAAUUAUUUUUUGGUAAACAAUCCCCCUCUGGCAACAAUUGUUUAACCAAUUGUAACAACAUUGUAAGGACAUUAUCGC